UCCGACGUGGUCGGGGUCGGUGGCUGCGCACUCUCACUGCUCGACGGGGGCACCGCGGGUGCGGUGCUCGGUGUCGGGC
rnacentral:tRNA from 1 species